AAUUCAUAGCAGUGGAUCACUCGACUUGUGUCGAUGAAGAACGCAGCUAACUGCAAGAAUUAAAGUGAAUUGCAGGACAAUUGAUAAUUGACAUUCCAACGCACUUGUGGCCACGGGCUCCUCCUGGGGCUACACCUGCCUGUGGGUCG
rnacentral:rRNA from 1 species